GGCUUACUUUCAGGUACAUCGUUCCUGCGGCUGAUCCCCGAUAGUGGCCCAGCUAAGGACAAUGCAUCGGCCGUGCGCCGCCACCUUUUGUGCUCGGGCAAGGUGUACUACGAACUCACCAAAGAGCGCAGGGCACGCAAUCUCGACUCUGAAGUGGCCAUCACACGUGUCGAGCAGCUCUGCCCGUUCCCGUUUGACCUGGUGAAACAGGAGGUCGACCGGUACCCCAACGCCGAGAUCUCUUGGGUCCAGGAGGAGCACAAGAAUCAGGGCUUCUGGUACUUUGUCCAGCCGCGGCUACAGACUGUGGUUGCCCACCAGAAACCCAUCCAGUACGUGGGCCGUGCUGUCUCUCCAUCAACGGCGACGGGCAGCAAGCACACACACAAGAAAGAGUCUGAGAAGCUCCUCAAUGACAGUUUUGCUUGAGUGUGUUGCGUUAUUUGAAAAUGAGGGAAGAGGAAACUUUAUAUUUAAAUCCAAGCCAAGAUAAGGAAGUGUAUGACAGAGCUGCCGCUGUUGCCCAUUCCUUUUGUAGCCGAGGCCCACAUCUUGAGUGUUUAGAAAAUUGGCCUUAUGUGUUGCCGCAGCUUUAAUGGAUGGCACCAGCACAUCUUGGCAGUUACAGAGGUCUUCACUAGCUCUGUGCACCACAUGCUGUGGAGCAGAUCUGAUAUAAAUGGCCACGUCUACUGCACAGCAGGAUGAACUCUUGUGUACUGUUCAGGCACGAGCACAGCAACC
rnacentral:lncRNA from 1 species